UCAUUUAAUAUAAGUCAAUGUUCAUUACUGUUAUGGUAUCAGAAGAAUUCUUCCUCCCACUGCCAUUAAUGGUGUUUUUCAUAUCUAAAAUUUCAAUUUUUCUACGUUUCAUCAUUUUUCUUUGAUGUUCUUUCUGCUUUCACUCUUUAUUCAUCAUAAUCAAAUCUCUGUUAUUUUUUCUUACAAACUCAAAGAGCAUAAUUUUCUUACAUGGAAAUCUCUGUUAAUUCCUCUUAUCAAGAAACACAAGGUCCUUGGAUUUCUUGAUGGUUCAUUACCAUUUCCACCGUAUAUGAUCAAUAACAUACCAAAUCCUGGUUAUGUGGCAUGGCAUGAUGAUGAUACAACAUUAGUUCUCUGGAUCCAAUCAUCAAUUUAUGACACUUUUAUAGCUUAUGUUGUUGGAGCUUAAUAUGCAAAAGAUCAUUGGGAAUCAAUUUAAUAAAGGAUCUAUCAUAUGAGAAGAUCACUUUACAAGGGACACAUAAAGAUGGAUUAUAUCUCAUGAAGUUUCUUAAGGAUCCUAAGUACUCAGCUCUCUCAAAUUUCUCUACAUCAGCUACAACCUGGCAUAGAAGACUUGCUCAUCCUUCAUUUCAAGUGCUGCAAAAAGUUUGUCAUACUUUAGAUUUAUCUCGUGUUACUAAGUCACCGCUUUUCUGUAAUGAAUGUUAGCUAGGUAGAUCUCAUAAACUUCCAUUUGGUUUGUCUUCUCAUAAAUCAAAUUCACCUUUAGAAUUACUUCAUAUGGAUAUUUGGGGACCAAGAUAGUGGAUGAUUUCUCAAGAUUUUACUGGAUUUAUCCCUUACAUGAAAAAAGGUCAAAUCCAUUUUUCUACACUUUAAAGCUAUGAUUGAAAAAUUACUCAAAUGUUCCAUUAUAACAAUUAGAACAAAUGGUAGUUGUGAGUUCUUAAAAACUUAAA